CCCCAAAUACUAAAACCCACUGAUUCCUUCUUUCACAUUCAAAAUCCUUAUCAUGAAGCAUAAACCAGAAAGGAGCAUUAGAAUCAAACAAAACCAGAUCCAAUUAACCCGUAUGAUUAUAUAUGUGAAAGUAAAUCGAUGAAUUUGACGAUCAAACAAAACCAGUUCUAGGGUUUAUAAAGAUUGAAGCAUCUCUUUCAUGGCAGGUUCAUUGGGUUUUGAUUCUCAAUUCAUUUUCAUUUUGUUAUGAAGAAAUCUAGCCGAUGUAGAGUUUUGAUUCGAAUUUGAGUUUACAUGGAAGGAAUCAAGCUGACGUCGUUUGAUCAAUGAACUGUGUAGCCUAAGGUGUGUUUUGAGGUUUGGGAAAGAUGGGCCAGAAGUGUAUCAAGAAAAAGAAAAAACCAGUGAAAGAUCAAUGUGAUUGAAAUAAUAAGUUGGGGUUGGGUAUGAUUUUGAUUAAUUGUGAUAAACAGAUGCUGGUAUCGAGAUUCGGUAAUCACUUUAGAUUUGGUAUAACCCUCUGUGUCUAACUGCAUAUGUUUUUGUCAAAACAGGUGAGCCAUUUAGUUGGGUAUUAGUAGAUCCUUACAAAUCUGGGAGCCUGGCUUACGUCCAUACGUCAAGACUGGUAAAGUUGCAGACUCGAUGUUCCUCAUUUUUGCGCUCUUUUCAGAGUGGAUUAAAAAUAACAAAAUUUGUUAGAGGACUUUUCUCUCUGGUAGUACUGGUUAGUUUUGGAAUGAUCCCAGCACUUGUAAUUGGAUGGGUUAAUUUAAUUGAUAUCAGAUGGUGGUGGGUAAUUGAAUUUGAGAUGAAAGUUCUUGAAGAGAAAUUCUACAGCAAAAAUGCCAAGAAGAAAUUGAUAAAGUCCGAGAUGGUUGGAUUGUUUUACCGGAUGAAUUAAACGGCUGCAGUAUCAGUAACAUGGAUGGAUUUGAUUUCUGGGGUUAAUUGAAGUUUUGGUGUGAAAAGGCGAUCAUACUGGUGUCGGAGAUGGAGAAGAACACUAGUGGGGUAUUUCAGGGAGAUCAUGAAAAACAUGUACAAUCUACUAAUGACGGGAGGAAAUAGGGGUGCACAUAUCCUAUCCAUACCCGCCAAUCCUACCCUACCCGCCAGUGUUGUAACCUUAUCCUAUCCUACCCAUUAUUUGGCGGGUAGGGUGACGGUUAGAGAUUUUUUUACCCGCCGUUAAAUGGGUAGGAUGACGGGUAAAGCACGAAAUUACCCUACUCUACCCGCCUACCCGUCUAAUACUGAAAAGACAAAGUACCCUUGUAUUGUUUUCUCCUCCUGCCUAUUUUUUGUUAUUUUAAAACAUAUUAGGGGUAAAAGACAAAGUAACCCUUGAAUGGAUUUCACUUUCUAUCGAACCAUUUCAUCUAUUUUUCAUUCGCACCAUUUCUCUCUUUUCAUUCGAACCAUUUCAUCUCCUCGUCAUUGCAGUAGCGAAGUGAAGUCUGGGUUUCGAUCUGAAGAUGAAGAUGUAAGUGAUUUGUGUGUUCGAUUUGUGUAUCGUUAUGUGUUUGAAUCUAUUUUUUGCUCAUCUCAAUCCACUUUCUUAUCUCUGCAUAAGAGAAUUUAAGGUUUCAGGCUGCAAGUGCAGUUUGAGGUUUUUGGGGUUUCGAUCUGAAGAUAUAUUUCUUAAGAGAAACGAUGUUGGUGACCAUUUUCCCUCACUUGCAAUCUGCUUAGGCUUUGAACUGUUAAGUACCGUUAUCAGAUUUAUUUGGUGAUCUUAGUACUUAUUCCAUCAUCGUAGA